rnacentral:rRNA from 1 species
CAGCAGCCACGGUAAUACGUAGGUGGCAAGCGUUAUCCGGAAUUAUUGGGCGUAAAGCGCGCGUGGGCGGUUUUUUAAGUCUGAUGUGAAAGCCCACGGCUCAACCGUGGAGGGUCAUUGGGAACUGGAAAACUUGAGUGCAGAAGAGGAAAGUGGAAUUCCAUGUGUAGCGGUGAAAUGCGCAGAGAUAUGGAGGAACACCAGUGGCGAAGGCGACUUUCUGGUCUGUAACUGACGCUGAUGUGCGAAAGCGUGGGGAUCAAACAGGAUUAGAUACCCGUGUAGUCCCUGUCUCUUAUAC